GAUGAACGCCGGCGGCGUGCCUAAUACAUGCAAGUCGAACGCAUAGCGAAAGGUGCUUGCACCUUUCAAGUGAGUGGCGAACGGGUGAGUAACACGUGGACAACCUGCCUCAAGGCUGGGGAUAACAUUUGGAAACAGAUGCUAAUACCGAAUAAAACUUAGUGUCGCAUGACACAAAGUUAAAAGGCGCUUCGGCGUCACCUAGAGAUGGAUCCGCGGUGCAUUAGUUAGUUGGUGGGGUAAAGGCCUACCAAGACAAUGAUGCAUAGCCGAGUUGAGAGACUGAUCGGCCACAUUGGGACUGAGACACGGCCCAAACUCCUACGGGAGGCUGCAGUAGGGAAUCUUCCACAAUGGGCGAAAGCCUGAUGGAGCAACGCCGCGUGUGUGAUGAAGGCUUUCGGGUCGUAAAGCACUGUUGUAUGGGAAGAACAGCUAGAAUAGGAAAUGAUUUUAGUUUGACGGUACCAUACCAGAAAGGGACGGCUAAAUACGUG
rnacentral:rRNA from 1 species